rnacentral:lncRNA from 1 species
GUUUGUUUAUUUGCUGAUUUUUUUCCCCUCCCCUCUCUGACUUGGCCGAGUUAAGAGUUUUGUAUUUGUCAAGCAGCGUGCAGACAUCUGUGCUGUGUGCCUCUGACAUUCUCUCCCCUAAAAUAGAGAUUGCUGUCUUUCAGCUGCAGAACUCGUACGCCCACUCCCUGACAUCUGCCCUUCAUUACUUGGUUCCCGUGCGACCACGACGACAGAUUGUCUAUCCUCUGGAAAAGCUUGGCAUAAACGCUCCAUCAAAGGAGGUCUCCAAGGAUCAGGCAAGUUAUGCCUUAUACCACACAAACAGAAAACUAACGUUAGAACCGAAAGUCACUGUCAAUGCCAGAAUCGUUGUGGUUGGUGCAUCCAGUGUUGGCAUUUCAUUCUUAGAGACACUGG